CCUACGGGGGACAGCAGUGGGGAAUAUUGCACAAUGGGGGGAACCCUGAUGCAGCGACGCCGCGUGAGUGAAGAAGUAUUUCGGUAUGUAAAGCUCUGUCAGCAGGGAAGAAGAAAGACGGUACCUGACCAAGAACCCCCGCCUAACUACGAGCCAGCAGCCGCGGCAAUACGUAGGGGGCAAGCGUUAUGCGGACUUACGGGGUGUAAAGGAAGCGUAGUUGGCUGGGGAAGUCUGGAGUGAAAGGCCGGGGCCGAACCCCGGGACAGCUCUGGAAACUGUCCGGCUGGAGUGCAUGAGAGGGAAGUGGAAUUCCUAGGGUAGCGGGGAAAUGCGUAGAUAUUAGGAGGAACACCAGUGGCGAAGGCGGCUUACUGGAAUGUAACUGACGUUGAGGCUCGAAAGCGUGGGGAGCAAACAGGAUUAGAUACCCUUGUAGUC
rnacentral:rRNA from 1 species